CCUACGGGGGGCUGCAGUGAGGAAUAUUGGUCAAUGGACGAGAGUCUGAACCAGCCAAGUAGCGUGAAGGAUGACGUCCCUAUGGGUUGUAAACUUCUUUUAUCUGGGCAUAAAACGUUCCACGUGUGGGAUUUUGUAUGUACCAUAUGAAUCAGGCACGGCUAACUCCGUGCCCGCAGCCGCGGUAAUACGGGGGAUGCGAGCGUUAUCCUGAUUUAGUGGGUUUUAAGGGUGAGUAGGCGGGCGCUUAAGUCAGCGGUAAAAUGGCGGGGCUCAACCUCGUCGAGCCGUUGAAACUGGGUGCCUUGAGUGGGCGAGAAGUACGCGGAAGGCGGGGUGUAGCGGUGAAAUGCAUAGAGAUCGCGCAGAACUCCGAGUGCGAAGGAAGCGUACCGGCGCCCAACUGACGCUGAAGCACGAAGGCGUGGGUAUCGAACAGGAGUAGAUACCCCAGUAGUC
rnacentral:rRNA from 1 species